GUACCUUUUGUAUAAUGGGUCAGCGACUUAUAUUCUGUAGCAAGGUUAACCGUAUAGGGGAGCCGGAGGGAAACCGAGUCUUAACCGGGCGUUAAGUUGCAGGGUAUAGACCCGAAACCCGGUGAUCUAGCCAUGGGCAGGUUGAAGGUUGGGUAACACUAACUGGAGGACCGAACCGACUAAUGUUGAAAAAUUAGCGGAUGACCUGUGGCUGGGGGUGAAAGGCCAAUCAAACCGGGAGAUAGCUGGUUCUCCCCGAAAGCUAUUUAGGUAGCGCCUCGUGAAUUCAUCUCCGGGGGUAGAGCACUGUUUCGGCUAGGGGGCCAUCCCGGCUUACCAACCCGAUGCAAACUGCGAAUACCGGAGAAUGUUAUCACGGGAGACACACGGCGGGUGCUAACGUCCGUCGUGAAGAGGGAAACAACCCAGACCGCCAGCUAAGGUCCCAAAGUCAUGGUUAAGUGGGAAACGAUGUGGGAAGGCCCAGACAGCCAGGAUGUUGGCUUAGAAGCAGCCAUCAUUUAAAGAAAGCGUAAUAGCUCACUGGUCGAGUCGGCCUGCGCGGAAGAUGUAACGGGGCUAAACCAU
rnacentral:rRNA from 1 species